AGUGUGGCGUCCUUUCGUUCUUUGUGCUUUCACUGGGAGCUACAAUCCCAAGCUGCUAGUGAUCAGCCAUCUUGGAUCUCUCUCCCUGAUGUUUUCCUAAGUGCUGAAAAAAAUAAAAAUCUGCCAUCUAAGAACACUGUAUCCUACAAAGCUAUCCUUCAAAUAUGAAGAAGAGAUAGUCUUUCCCAGACAAGUCAAAACUGAGAGUAUUCACCACCACCAGACAGACGUU